rnacentral:rRNA from 1 species
GACGAACGCUGGCGGCGUGCCUAAUACAUGCAAGUCGAACGAACCGCGACUAGGUGCUUGCACUUGGUCAAGGUGAGUGGCGAACGGGUGAGUAACACGUGGGUAACCUACCUCAUAGUGGGGGAUAACAGUCGGAAACGACUGCUAAUACCGCAUAGGACAUAGGAUCACAUGAUCCAGUGAGGAAAGGUGGCGCAAGCUAUCGCUAAGAGAUGGACCCGCGGUGCAUUAGCUAGUUGGUAGGGUAAAGGCCUACCAAGGCGAUGAUGCAUAGCCGACCUGAGAGGGUGAUCGGCCACAUUGGGACUGAGACACGGCCCAAACUCCUACGGGAGGCAGCAGUAGGGAAUCUUCCGCAAUGGACGCAAGUCUGACGGAGCAACGCCGCGUGAGUGAAGAAGGUCUUCGGAUCGUAAAGCUCUGUUGUUAGAGAAGAACAGCGAAUAGAGUACCUGUUAUGCGUGUGACGGUAUCUAACCAGAAAGCCACGGCUAACUACGUG